UACGUAGGGUGCAAGCGUUAAUCGGAUUUACUGGGCGUAAAGCGCGCGUAGGUGGUUUGGUAAGCGAUAUGUGAAAUCCCCGGGCUCAACCUGGGAACUGCAUGUCGAACUGCCAGGCUAGAGUAUGGUAGAGGGGUGUGGAAUUUCCUGUGUAGCGGUGAAAUGCGUAGAUAUAGGAAGGAACAUCAGUGGCGAAGGCGACACCCUGAACCGAUACUGACACUGAGGCGCGAAAGCGUGGGUAGCGAACAGG
rnacentral:rRNA from 1 species